rnacentral:lncRNA from 1 species
ACUAGCGCUCUGCGCGCGCCGCAGGCUGUAGCCGGCCGGGGUCGCAGCACGCCUCCCCGCUCCGCCCCCUCGCGCGCCGCCCGGCGCCCCGCGCACGCGCGCCGCCCCCUGCUCCUUCAGCGAGGGUCUGCGGGGAGCGCGCGUCCAACGGUCAGCGCCCCUCAGUGCACAGUCCCAGCGGCCUCGCUGGGCCGGCGCCUCCCGACCAAGUCUCUACGGUCGCCCUCCCCUCGGGGUGGCCACGAGGGACUCCUCCUCCUCUUCCUCCUCCCCUCCCUCCCCCUCGGUCUCCGCCUCCUCCUUCUCCUCCUCCUUCACUGCCCCGACCUCCCGCCCCAGGUUCCACGCGCUCUGAUGCCCGCCCCGCUCACCCAGAGAAGCCCUGGGCCAGACGUCCACAACCCAAGGGGUUAUGGGGAGGCCUCUGCUCCCUGGACACAGUAGUUCUCAAACUGGACAGUGUCAAUCAGCAUCCUCCGGGAGGUCUGGGGUGGCCCCGGAAAUACAUGUGUCCCACCUAUCCCAGCAGGUAAUGAUGAAACUCCUGCUCUGGUCCGGGCUACCGGUGAACAGCGCCCAGCGGGCCGGGCCCCCAACCUCGCUCCUGAGCCUGAACAUCCCCCCAACCCCACCGUGAGAAUUCAGCGAAGAGUAAAAGCUGGAAAAAGUUGCGUGUCUUAGGCUAAGCAGAACAAAGUGGGGUGACGGCUCCCCGGCUAGGAACAGAGAUGCCCUUAGGGAGCCCUCUGAUGGAAGAGCUCUCCGCUUAAGAAGGUCACCACUCCCUUACACUCAGCCCCCCUCAAUCUGAUUCCCUGCUAUGCCUGCCAUCACCACUGGCCAGUUUUACCACAUGCUUCUCAAGACCCAAGGCACAAUAGGCAUAAAGUUGUCCUGAAAAGGACAAGAGGAGUGUCAGAAGUAGGAAUGGCAGUUGAAGGAGCUUCGUCUGCCAGCAGAAAGCUGAAAUGACAGGAGAUGUUGCUGAGAUGGGUGCAUUAAAGUUUAGGCUUUCCAGAGUUUAUAUUGCUAACAACUUGAAAGGAAAAAAGCUAACUAGAGAACUGACUGGUCUUAUUUGUUUUAGAUUCUGGGCUUUACUAAGACUUCCUACUCUCAGAAUCUCUGGACUAUAAACGCUGGGUGGGGUGGGAGCUGGGAAUGUUAUUCUGGAAAAUUAAUCACAAAUGAAAAGAAAAUCAACUCUAAGACUCCAGUUAGAAGAUUUUUGAAAAUGGCAGAACAUGACUGGCCUUCAUUCAAGUCAGAAUAUUUAAAGCAAUCCUUGCUAAGAAGAACUUGAUUUUGUAUAAGCAGUCCCUUAAAUACAGUUGCUUCUCAAGAAAACCACACA